UCCAACCGACUUUGGGGAACAGUGGCGCACACACGCACUAUAACGAAAUAUACAAAAAGGUACAAACUAGAUAGCAACAGAAUAGACCUCACUCGAAAAUCUAUAAAUUAUCUACGGCAGAUAUUUGCAUAGGCUUUAGUAUCGGCGGUUUCUCACAUAUCCCCAGACAAUGCAGCAGGGCCAUUAUCAGAAAUACAAAUUACGAUAAACAAAUGAGGACUCCAUUCUCAGUUCUGAAAGUAAUUCACAGAAACUUGUCACUUCUCAUUUUUUUGAAUCAUCAAGAAAACAGAAGGCAUCAAUGGUACGUUUGAAUAUUUGCAAGAAUUGGCAAAUAAAAAGCAGGAGAAAGGAAAAGAAAGUGGAAACGUAGUAUCUGGUUAUACUCUCUGCUAAUUGGUACAAUGACUUCAUAUAAUCUGUCUGUUCUAAGGAAUAAGGAUGA
rnacentral:lncRNA from 1 species